rnacentral:rRNA from 1 species
CCUACGGGGGGCUGCAGUAGGGAAUAUUGCUCAAUGGGGGAAACCCUGAAGCAGCAACGCCGCGUGGAGGAUGAAGGUUUUCGGAUUGUAAACUCCUUUUGUUAGAGAAGAUAAUGACGGUAUCUAACGAAUAAGCACCGGCUAACUCCGUGCCAGCAGCCGCGGUAAUACGGAGGGUGCAAGCGUUACUCGGAUUCACUGGGCGUAAAGAGCGCGUAGGCGGGAUAGCAAGUCAGAUGUGAAAUCCUAAGGCUUAACCAUAGGACUGCAUUUGAAACUGUUAUUCUAGAGUAUGGGAGAGGUAAGGUGAAUUAUUGGUGGAGGGGUAAAAUCCGUAGAGAUCAAGAGGAAUAAUCCUUGCGAAGG